UUUACUUCACGCUUUUCAGUAUUAUUCUAUUCGCCUGCGUUUCAAGUUGAUAUUCACGGAUUGCGGACUACGUGCACGCAUACAUACACAAACGAGAUAUAUACAUACACAUAUGUACGCAUGUAUGUAUGUUUAUUAUAUAUUUUGAUUGGAUUGGGGCAAAAGAGUGCGCCAUCGUUCGGUGUGUUUUUUCUUGUUUCUGGAGCAACAGCAGCAGUAAACAAGAUUUAUAAAAAUAAAUACCCAAUCGAAUAUAUAUAUGCGAAAAAUAAUAACAAAUCGAAUUGCGGCGUGAUAACAAAUAUGUAAAGAAAAAAAAAAGGAAAAAACCAAACAAAAACCACAACAAAGUGAAACAAGUGCUAAAGCAAUUAAAACGAAAACCAAAAGGCAAUUAGAAGAAUUUACAAUACUUAUGUGCGAAUGUAAUACGAAUGUGAAUCACAUUAAGAAUAAGCAAAUCAAAAUCAAGCAAACGUUUUAUCUACAUAACUGUAAGCCAGCAACGUGGGAGGCGUCAAGAGAGUAAUAGAAACGAAACGACAGAGAGAGAGAGAGAGAAAGAGAGCUAGCGAGAGAAAUUGCGAGAUCGUGGCAAGCAACACACAAGGCCAUCCCAUCGAAUAAUCUAUGGAUAAAAUAACAAGAGAAUUUAUUUUCAUACUGGCUUAAAGAUAGCAUCUGGGAAAA